UUUUCAGGUGGUUUUGGACACCAAUGAAUAUCGCUAUUGUAAUGAAAUAUGCUAAUGGAGGUGAACUAUUUGAGCAUAUAUGUAGCGCUGGAAGAUUCAGGGAGGAUGAUGCAAGAUAAUUUUUCCAGAAGAUUAUUUCAAGAGCCAGCUAUUGCCAUGAUGUAGUAAGAAAUGACUUACGAAGUUCUUCUUAACUCUCGCAGACGUACUGAAGCUUUGUUUAUCAUUCCUGUAGUCACAUUAUUUUUCUUUAUAGUCAUAGCAAAUAUGCCAGUGUUAGGAGGAAACUGGAAAAAUAUCACUAUGUUUAUAAUCAGGGACAUCUGCAAACAUAUAUAUGCCUUCGGGCUUUCCAUUUUGGUGAAAAGAUUUUUGUGUAUAGGAUAAGGGUAAUGUCACCUUGAUUUAAAUUUCA